GAUGAACGCUGGCGGCGUGCCUAAUACAUGCAAGUCGAGCGAACAGAUGAGGAGCUUGCUCCUCUGACGUUAGCGGCGGACGGGUGAGUAACACGUGGAUAACCUACCUAUAAGACUGGGAUAACUUCGGGAGACCGGAGCUAAUACCGGAUAAUAUAUUGAACCGCAUGGUUCAAUAGUGAAAGACGGUUUUGCUGUCACUUAUAGAUGGAUCCGCACCGCAUUAGCUAGUUGGUAAGGUAACGGCUUACCAAGGCAACGAUGCGUAGCCGACCUGAGAGGGUGAUCGGCCACACUGGAACUGAGACACGGUCCAGACUCCUACGGGAGGCAGCAGUAGGGAAUCUUCCGCAAAGGGCGAAAGCCUGACGGAGCAACGCCGCGUGAGUGAUGAAGGUCUUCGGAUCGUAAAACUCUGUUAUUAGGGAAGAACAAAUGUGUAAGUAACUAUGCACGUCUUGACGGUACCUAAUCAGAAAGCCACGGCUAACUACGUG
rnacentral:rRNA from 1 species